AGGAAGUAAAAAAUAAAUUCAAACCUAUUUUCAUCGACGGCAUUCUACUAUUUAAAGGAACCUGUAAUUUAAUCGACAAUCCACGAUAAUUUUCACUUUUUUAAAAAAUUUUCAUACCGCCAUCUUAAGAAUUAAAUUUUAAAAAUUUAUUCUAAAUAAAACCUAAAAACUUAGGUCAAGGUGAAGUUUAAAUUAAAGAAUAUAUGGGUUACAUUAAUAAACAUUUUCUUAAAGGAUUAUUUUUUAAUAAAAUUUUAUUAAAAAGGAUUUAAAAGUAUUAAACUAAUAAUAUUAUUUUACAAACCAAUUCCUAAAAUGUGU
rnacentral:rRNA from 1 species